rnacentral:rRNA from 1 species
UACGUAGGUGGCAAGCGUUGUCCGGAAUUAUUGGGCGUAAAGGGUGCGUAGGCGGUCUUUUAAGUGGGAUGUGAAAUACCUAGGCUUAACUUAGGAAUGGCAUUCCAAACUGGAAGACUAGAGUGCAGGAGAGGAAAGUGGAAUUCCCAGUGUAGCGGUGAAAUGCGUAGAGAUUGGGAGGAACACCAGUGGCGAAGGCGACUUUCUGGACUGUAACUGACGCUGAGGCACGAAAGCGUGGGGAGCAAACAGGAUUAGAUACCCCAGUAGUCC